rnacentral:rRNA from 1 species
GAAAUCACAUUUACAUGGAUAACCGUGGUAAUUCUAGAGCUAAUACAUGCUGGUAGGCCCGACUUUUGCGGAAGGGCGGUAUUUAUUAGAUAACAAGCCAAUAUUCCUCUGGUCUAUUGUGGUGACUCAUAAUAACUGAUCGAAUCGCAAGGCCUUUGGCCGCGAUAAGUCAUUCAAGUUUCUGCCCCAUCAGCUUUCGAUGGUAGUGUAUUGGACUACCAUGGCGUUUACGGGUAACGGAGGAUUAGGGUUCGAUUCCGGAGAGGGAGCCUGAAAAACGGCUACCACAUCUAAGGAAGGCAGCAGGCGCGUAAAUUACCCAAUCCUGACUCAGGGAGGUAGUGACAAGAAAUAACGGACCGAGGCCUUCGGGCUUCGGGAUUGGAAUGAGCCGAAUUUACACCCCUUAACGAAGAUCGAUUGGAGGGCAAGUCUGGUGCCAGCAGCCGCGGUAAUUCCAGCUCCAAUAGCGUAUAUUAAAGUUGUUGCAGUUAAAAAGCUCGUAGUUGGAUUUCUGGGAGGGUGCCGAUGUCCACUUAACGUGUGCGCAGCGGCGCCCUCUCAUCCUUCUGUUAGCGUCUCUUGGCAUUCAUUUGCUGGUGGCGGGUUCAGAUAUUUUACCUUGAGAAAAUUAGAGUGUUUCAUGCAGGCUAGGCCGGAAUACAUUAGCAUGGAAUAAUGGAAUAGGACUACGGUCUCUUUGUUGGUUUGAGGGACUGCAGUAAUGAUUAAUAAGGAUAGUUGGGGGGCAUUAGUACUUAACUGUCAGAGGUGGAAUUCUCAGAUUUGUUAAAGACUGACUUAUGCGAAAUCAUUUGCCAAGGAUGUUUUCAUUAAUCAAUAACGAAAGUUAGGGGAUCAAAGACGAUCAGAUACCGUCCUACUCUAACCAUAAACUAUGCCCACUCGCGAUUGGGGGCGUGUUUCUAUCCGCCUUCAACUCGGAUUGGAGAUAUCAAAGUCUUUGGAU